rnacentral:lncRNA from 1 species
AUGGUGAGAAAUGAGAAAUUGCACCACAGCCGGGCUGGCAAAAAGCUGGGUGUCUCUGAUGGGUUUCCGGUCCUGUUAUCAGGCCUGCUUGGCACUCCCUCCAGCCCAGACGGAUCUCCUCCUGUCGUCUGUAGAUCAAGUCCAUUUGUGAGACUCAGACUGAGUAGGUGGGUGAGUGGGGAGACAUAGUUAUGUCUGGUGCAUUUCUUCAGGUGAGGGGUGGCGGUGGAUGAAUUACAGAGAGCGUGUGUUUCUGUGCACAUGCUUUCUUCCUUGGCGUGGGAGGUUAGACAGAUACAGGGAGGGAUUUUUUUAAUGUUUUGGCAAAGGCAAGCUUGUAGAAUUAGAACAGUUUGUCUAACUGUCUAAGAUUUCAGUGAUGAAAACAGGAAUACGUUUGUGUAGCUCCCAUUUCCAAAUCAAGAAGCAUUGCCAGGUCCACUUCUCACAGCUUAAUUUCACCUUCAUUUAGGUGAAAGAUCUAGUCUGCCUUCUCCACACCCUCAUAGAUGAACAUCACCAAACAACGCCAGAGUGUGGUCAAGAUGACAAAAUUAUUAAGGGCCGGGCUGUGGCGCAGCUGGCUAGUAACCAGCUGCAAUAAAUCACUACUGACCGAGAGGUCAUGAGUUCGAAGCCCGGGUCGGGUUAAGCCCCCGACAAUUAAAUAGCCCGGCUUGCUGUUGACCUAUGCAGCCCCGAAAGACAAUUGCAUCUGUCAAUUAGGGAAAUUUAGGUACGCUUUAUGCGGGAGGCUAAUUUAACUAAUUUACAACAUCAUAAAACUGCCAGCAAAACACGAGGAAAGGAAUGAGGAAGUACAGCCACUAGUGGACAGUGAAGCAACAGCUCCCUCUGUGGCCGGAAUCGUAAAGCUGGAAAAACAUGUUAAAUGCCUCUGUGUCUGUCUAUAUAUGUUGUUUGUCUAUUGGCAUUGAAUGUUUGCCAUAUAUGUGUUAAUCCACCCUGAGUCCCCUUUGGGGUGAGAAGGGCGGAAUAUAAAUACUGUAAAUAAAUAAAUUGAGAAAAACACACUAGGAAAGACUGCAGCAGAUGUCUUUUGCCUACACCUACUGGAAAGGACUCUGCUUAUUCCUCUCUGCUGAGUUUGAGAUUGCUUUGCACCAAUUGAACCAUCAAGCUGAUGGCAAUGGGGAAAGGGAGAGAAGGAGAGAGAAACUGGGACACUUUAGAAGCACUCCUGAUGCU